UUUCGAGUUCCAACAAUACAUUAUGAUCAUAAGAGUAUAAGACUAUGAUAGUCUUAGAACAUCCACAAGUAGAAGCUUCCAAAUACGUAAUUUAAACAAGAUCGCCAAUUUCCCAUGACAUGACAAGAGUCUAAAAACAUAGCAAAUAGUUCAAAGUUCUAACCAACCACAAACUUAGUUCACAGUUCAUAAGACUGAGGGGCCGAGGCAUGAGGGGGGACAUGAAAUAAGGGAGUGUUUGAGUCUGGACUAAUUUAUACCUAGGGUUUUUUGGGCUUGGGUCAAUAGUGUUGGUAAUUUUAAUUUUUUUAAAAAUAAAAAAUAGGUAUGGGUUUUAAACGAGGUGGGUACAGGGCGGGUCUUAGUAACAUAGGUAUGGGGCGGGUAUGGGGUAGGCACGGGGCAGGUGGAGCCUAUACCCAUACCCAUACCCACACCCAUUUAGCAAUACCCACCCCAUACUCAUUUUUUUAAAAAAUUUCAUACCCAUAUCCAUUGGGGCGGGUUUUGCGGGUUUUAAGCGGGUACAGAUUCUGAAAUUCUUGGAUUUAUGAAAGACGAACAACUGUAAAAGCAUUUACCAAGGAUGUUUUCAUUGAUCAAGAAUGAAAGUUGGGGGCUCGAAGAUGAUAAGAUACCAUCCUAGUCUCAACCAUAAAAGAUGCCGACCAGGGAUCGGCAGAUGUUUUUAGGACACCAUCGGCACCUUAUGAGAAAUCAAAGUUUUUGGGUUCUGGGGGGAGUAUGGUCGUAAGGCUGAAACUUAAAGGAAUUGACGAAAGGGCACCACCAAGAGUGGAGCCUGCGGCUUAAUUGGACUCAACAUGGGGAAAUUUACCAGGUUCGGACAUAGUAAGGAUUGACAGACUGAGAGCUCUUUCUUGAUUUUAUGGGCAGUGAUGCAUGGCCGUUGUUAGUUGGUGGAGCGAUUUGUCUGGUUAAUUCCGUUAACGAACGAGACCUCAGCCUGCUAACUAGCUUUGUGGAGGUAACCCUUCACUGCUAGCUUCUUAAAGGGACUAUGGCCUUCCAGGCCACGGAAGUUUGAGGUAAUAACAGGUCUGUGAUGCCCUUAGAUGUUUUGGGCCGCAUGCGCUACACUGAUGUAUUCAACGAGUCUAUAGCCUUGGCCGACAGGCCCGGGUAAUCUUUGAGAUUUCAUCGUGAUUGGGAUAGAUCAUUGCAAUUGUUCGUCUUCAAUGAGGAAUUCCUAGUAAGUGCGAGUCAUCAGCUCGCGUUAACUACGUCCCUGCCCUUUGUACACACCGCCCGUCGCUCCUACCGAUUAAAUGGUCCGAUGAAGUGUUCGAAUCACGACGACGUGGGCGGUUCGCAGCCAGUGAUGUCGCGAGAAGUCCACUAAACCUUAUUAUUUAGAUGAAGGAGAAGUCGUAACAAGGUUUUCGUAGAUGAACUUACGGAAG
rnacentral:rRNA from 1 species